UACGGGGGGAGCAAGCGUUGUUCGGAUUUACUGGGCGUAAAGGGCGCGUAGGCGGCCACCGCAAGUCAAUUGUGAAAUCUCCGGGCUUAACUCGGAAAGGUCAACUGAUACUGCGGGGCUAGAGUGCGGAAGGGGCAACUGGAAUUCUCGGUGUAGCGGUGAAAUGCGUAGAUAUCGAGAGGAACACCUGCGGCGAAGGCGGGUUGCUGGGCUGACACUGACGCUGAACUGCGAAAGCUAGGGGAGCGAACGGG
rnacentral:rRNA from 1 species